rnacentral:rRNA from 1 species
UACAGAGGGUGCGAGCGUUAAUCGGAAUUACUGGGCGUAAAGCGUGCGUAGACGGUAGCGUAAGUCAGAUGUGAAAGCCCCGGGCUCAACCUGGGAAUUGCAUUUGAGACUGCUCUGCUCGGGUGCGGAAGAGGGAAGCGGAAUUUCCGGUGUAGCGGUGAAAUGCGUAGAUAUGUGGAGGAACACCGAUGGCGAAGGCAGCCCCCUGGGUCAAAACUGACGCUCAUGCACGAAAGCGUGGGGAGCAAACAGG